rnacentral:rRNA from 1 species
GAUGAACGCUGGCGGCGUGCCUAAUACAUGCAAGUCGAGCGAACGGACGAGAAGCUUGCUUCUCUGAUGUUAGCGGCGGACGGGUGAGUAACACGUGGAUAACCUACCUAUAAGACUGGGAUAACUUCGGGAAACCGGGGCUAAUACCGGAUAAUAUUUUGAACCGCAGGGUUCAAAAGUGAAAGACGGUCUUUCUGUCACGUAUAGAUGGAUCCGCGCGGCAUUAGCUAGUUGGUAAGGUAACGGCUUACAAAGGCAACGAUGCAUAGCCGACCUGCGAGGGUGAUCGGCCACACUGGAACUGAGACACGGUCCAGACUCCUACGGGAGGCAGCAGUAGGGAAUCUUCCGCAAUGGGCGAAAGCCUGACGGAGCAACGCCGCGUGAGUGAUGAAGGUCUUCGGAUCGUAAAACUCUGUUAUUAGGGAAGAACAUAUGUGUAAGUAACUGUGCACAUCUUGACGGUACCUAAUCAGAAAGCCACGGCUAACUACGUG